UCUCUGGUAGUAUAUUGACUAGUACACGCACCUGUCAUGAAAGUUUUCUUGAAUGUUGUUGAUACCGCGCGAAAGCUGGGUUCGACUCCCAGCCAGAGUG